AUUCGUUAAAUCAAAUUUAUUUAUCAAGGUAAAUCAAAUUUAAAUCAAGUCUUAUCAAUUAAAUAUACUCUCUCUCAAACCAAACAUAUUUUCCUUAAUAAAAAAAAACAACAUUAAUAUCUAAACAUUAAAAAAAUUCAAACACAAAAUCAAAUACUUGUAUUCGUGCUUUUUCUUCAUACUUCUUCCCAUCUUCCUCUUUUAUUUCUUCUGGAGAAUAAUCACAAAAUCAAAACCCUAAUUUUAAAUUUUCUCUUAUUACAACUCAUUCAUCCAAAUGAACUCAUCAUCUUCUUCAUCUCAAGUCCUAAUUCAUAUCUUAAAAUUACAAUCCUAAAACUAUCAGAGAAAGAUGAAGUGAUUGGGUAGUUCCGCCAUUGCCGCAGAGGAGAGAACAAGAAAAUGAUAGGCGCGAAUUUU
rnacentral:lncRNA from 1 species